rnacentral:rRNA from 1 species
GAUUGAACGCUGGCGGCAUGCUUUACACAUGCAAGUCGAACGGCAGCGGGGAGGAGCUUGCUUCUCUGCCGGCGAGUGGCGAACGGGUGAGUAAUACAUCGGAACGUGUCGAGAAGAGGGGGAUAACCACCCGAAAGGGUGGCUAAUACCGCAUAAAUUCUGAGGAAGAAAGCUGGGGACCUAGGAAUAGGCCUAGCGCUUUUUGAGCGGCCGAUGUCGGAUUAGCUAGUUGGUGAGGUAAAGGCUCACCAAGGCGAAGAUCUGUAGCGGGUCUGAGAGGAUGAUCCGCCACACUGGGACUGAGACACGGCCCAGACUCCUACGGGAGGCAGCAGUGGGGAAUUUUGGACAAUGGGGGCAACCCUGAUCCAGCCAUGCCGCGUGUAUGAAGAAGGCCUUAGGGUUGUAAAGUACUUUUGUUAGGGAAGAAAAGUCAGCUGUGAAUAAUGGCUGAUACUGACGGUACCUAAAGAAUAAGCACCGGCUAACUACGUG